GUGUUCUUCUAGGAAAUGCAGGUGUUACAUCAAUGUGUAGUACAUAAUAUAAAUUAUGUUGUAUGUGACGUAUUCACAUAUACAUGAUCAGACGUGGAAUAUGAGGGGCGACAAAACCUUGAUAGCAUUCUUCAUAUAUAUUUUGCUUCUUAUAUUUGGUGUUGUAACCGGUGGCUGGGACACAGCAUGCGAAGGCGUAGCAGAAACCGUGUGCCCCAAAGAGUUUGAUGCCUAUAAAAGAAAGAGUGGCAACUGCAACGGUUACAAAAGUUUUCUGGAAUGCUUUUAUUAUUACGUCACACCUUAUUGCUAUAGAGUGUUUGAAGGCCAUCAUAGAUGCGUCAUAUAUGUUAUUUCUUUUUAGAACCUAGGCAAGCCUUCCAGCGUUAAGCCGUUUGCGUAAUUCGUUACACAUCUCAAAUUUAUACCGAGAAAGACAUAAUUUAAUAAAAUGUAUUGUCUACCUGUUUUUCUAACAAAAUUCCACUCUUGUCAAUGUUGAUGUGUAUGCGUCGUUAGAAACAUAAACUGGAAAAGAAACAUACACAUAAAGGAUGAAAUGAGAGAGAAAGUGUACCAAAGAUUUUACAUGGCAUGACAAUAAAGAAACCCUGAAAUAA